rnacentral:lncRNA from 1 species
UGUUGCCCAGGUUGGAGUGCAAUGGUUCAAUCUCGGCUCACCGCAACCUCUGCCUCCCGGGUUCAUGCAAUUCUUCUGCCUCAGCCUCCCAAGUAGCUGGGAUUACAGGUGCACACCACCAUACCUGGCUAAUUUUUUUGUAUUUUUAGUAGAGACGGGGUUUCACUAUGUUGGCCAGACUGGUCUCGAACUCCUGACCUCAUGGUCUGCCCGCCUCAGCCUCCCAAAGUGUUGGGAUUACAGGCAUGAGCCACUGCCCCUGGCCUUGAUCUCUUAAUUGCUUCCCUUUUUCCUCAGAGUUACAUUUUCCCCACUCUAAUCUGUCUCCCUGCAGUUCAGGCAUCUUCUUCUCUGACCUUUCAAGCCUCUUGUUCACACCACACACAGAUGAGGGAGAUUAUCUGCUUAUUUCUCACCCAAGGGAGAGAGCUCCAGGGGAGAGUCAGAACCAGGAUCAGAGCCGAGAGCCAGAGCCAGAUGCUGCUGCUGAAUGAGACAGCGGAGAUGCAAAAGCAAAGCCAGAGCCAUCCGUCAGCCCAGUAUUUGUAAUGGGUGCAGGGUUUGAAUGUUUGCAGGGUGCUUUGGCAUGGAGCAGUCCAUCUGGUUUUCAUCACCAUGACCAUGUAAGUAGGAAAUAUUCUGAUUUUCCAGAUGAGAAAACAGGCUCAGAAGGUUCAGUCACUUGCUCCAGUACAUAUGGCUACUAAUCAGUGAAGAACAGCCUCAAAUCCAGGUUUGUCUCACCCCAGGUCUCCCACUCUUUUUACUGCACUGGCAUAAACUUUGACCUGUGAGGGAACAGUUAACUGUCCCAGACGGAAUGGGUGGCCCCCCUCUCCAAGAGACUUGAAGAUUUGGGACCUUCUACUCUUCUACAUUUUGAGUUUGGGAGAGAACCGUAUCUUUAUCUCAUAUUUACUACAAAAACAAUCUGUGCAACAAAGCAUUCCCCAAUCACCCUAUUUAAAAUUAUCACCACCCCAAAAUUCCAUAUACCUCACUCCCAUUUUUCCCUUCAUGAACUUAUUACAUCCACUAUGCUAAGUAUUUUACUUAUUGUCUUUCUAUCACCACUCCCACCCAGGAAUAUAAGUGUCAUGAUGGCAAAAAUUUUUGUCUGUUUUGUUUGCUACUGUAUCCCUCACUUUAUAAUGUUUGACAUAUAAUAGGUGCUCAAUAAAAAUGUAUUUACAAGGCUGGACAUGGUGGCUCAUGCCCAUACUCCCAGCACUUUAGGAGGGCGAGGUGGGAGAAUUGCUUGAAGCCAGAAGUUCGAGACCAGUCUGAGCAACAUAGCAAGUAAGACCCCAUCUCUACAAAAACAUUUUUAAAAAUUAGCCAGGCAUGGUGGUGCAUGCCUGUGGCCCCAGCUAUCCCAGAGGCUGAGGCAGGAGGAUCACUUGAGCCCAGGAGGUUGAGGCUGCAGUGAGCUAUAAUUGCAUUGCUACACUCCAGCCUGGGCAACAAAGUAAGACUCUGUCUCUUAAAAGAAGAAAAAAUGUUAUUUACAAAAUGAACAAGGAAGCCAGAGCCAAGUUUCUUGUAUCACAGUCAAAAACAUGGAUCCACCAUGGAACCUCUCAAGUGCUGCUGGGGUCCUGAAAUGUUUGUCUCCCACCCCAUCCGAGAACUUAGACUGUACUGACAGAAGUCACUGGCUACACAGGGACCCGUGUUCAUCCCAAAGUGAGGACAGCAGCUGGGUCUCAAGGCCUCUUUAUUACACGAGAUGCUAAUGGGACUCAUUAAAAGCUUCUCAUUACCCAGCUAAUUACAGGGCUGUGUGGGCAAAGAACAUGGGCCAGAACCCAGGGUUGGGAGCAUUUGGUAGGAUGAGGAGAGAAGUGGGAAGCUGUUUACAUGCAAAUGGCAUGACUGGUUCAUUCCUGUGAGGAGCCCAGGUGCUGUUCCUAAUUGGUUCCAUCCAUCUCCCUCCUCCUCCUCUCCUAACCCCACCAAUCUGGAGCUGAAGGCCCAAGCUGGGCAGGCUGGAGGGAGUUGGGUGUGUAAGAGGAGGAGGUGUUAAGCCAAGAGCUGAGGACUAAAAGCCUCCUGGGUCCAAUCUCUGCAUCCACCCCUCUCCCCCACCAACCCACCCAUCCCUGCUCCCAAGCCCUGGCACCAGGGAAGCAGGGCUUCAGCAAAGGUACACCAUAAAUAAUGUCCUUUGAUGAUGCAGCAUCUCAAAGAGGAUGGCAGGAGCCAAGGAUGGUGGGGGAGCCGGGGCGGGGGGUGCGGGGAACAAGGGGAUGGCAGGGAGAGUUGAUCACCCCUUGAUCUCUGGGAUUAGCAAAGACUUGAAAGAGCUAAUGCUAGGCUAUGUUGGAGAGGUGAUGAGAGAGGGAGGUAUUGGAGGGCUAGGACAGCCUGGGCUUCAUUUUGCCUACAAAUCAUAUGGAAAUGACAUGUAAAGUGGGUGUUGCAGCUAUAGAGUCCCCAAGUGUUUUUUCUUGAACACCCACCCUUUAUUUGAGCCACAUCUCAGAUGAUGUCCCUGGCCUAGAGGAGCAGGGUACUUGGAGUCCAGGGUCCUUAGCAGCUCCUCCCCUGCAACUUCCCCUCUUUGCUGCUAUGAUGGGUUAGGGAUGAGGCCAGGAAAAGGUGUGUACAGUUGUGCUGUGUUGAGACAGGUUAGUCAGCAAUUCACUGAGGGCCAGAGGUGGAAGCAGACCCUGCUAAGCUCUCACAGACCACAGAUCUAAAUUUUACUGUGACUACAUGAGCAGCUUGUUCCCCAAAGGUAGAGGCCAGACAGAAGGUAGAGACAAGACAGACAAGACAGAAUCUAUGAGAAAAUAGAUAUGAGGGGGAGUAGGAAAAUAUUUAAAGCAUUUUACAAAAUAUUACAUAUUGAUAUUAGUCAGAGCUCACAGAAACAGGGACAAUGAGAUGGUGUGAGAUAGUUGGGAGGGUGAGAAAAAGAUAAUGACAAUGACGCAGGAAAAAUAAAGGAAGAGGAGAGGAAAGGGCCAGGUUACAGGGAUGGGAGGGUCUUGAUGAGGGAGCCUCAUCAAGUGAGUGAUGUGAAGUGCCACCUGCUGCAGGCCCCAGCUGUGGGACAGAGACGAGCAAGAUAACUGUUGGCAGCAGUUUGGCAUCUCGGGUGUGUGAGAAGGAAGGGGGUGUCGGGGAGGCUGGUGUGAUGGAGCCCUGUGCUGUGUGUGGGAGUAGAAGGGGUGAUGGCGUUCCCAAGUACAGGAGACCCUGCAUUCCCCAGCACCCCAGCAUACAUAAGCCCUCCAGCCUUGGGCUGCUUUUCAGGCUAAAUCGCCAAAGGACCCCAGUUUCUGCCAAGACAGGGAUGCUCACUUCUUUCCUCCAGGGACACACUUAAUGAAUCAGUCCACUGGCCACCUGCGACCUGAGCCCCAUCCUUAACUCCCCCCGCAGCCCCUCCACCCACCGCAGUCUCUCUAAACACCCCCCCAGAGCUCAGCCGGUCAAGGAGCCCGGAGACAAUUUUCCUUCUUUUCCUUUCUUAUUACCUCACUAGCUGGCUCCAAGGAGCUUGAGGAGGAAAAAGGGCAUGGGGGCAGGGGUCUAAGUACACCUGGGUGAAAAGAUAGGGGGAACAAGGACCCACCCACCCUGACUGAACCUUUCCAAGCCACAUGUUUUAUUAGUGUGCAGAGAGGCUGCGGGUUGGAGGAAGCUACUUUUGGAGGA